CUCAGAGUCAGUAGUAGGAGAUGUGACAACAGAAGCAAGAGUUUGGAGGUGAGCGGAAUACAGGCAACUUCUAGAUUCCGAAAAAGAUAAGGAAACAGAUUCUCCCCUGCUUAGGGGACCGCUCCCAGGACAGCAGGCUAUGAACCCAAGACAAGACCUGGAACAGCCAGCAAAGAAAGAUCGCUAACCUGGGAGGGUGAGCUUGGGUGAGAGCUGAAGAUGGUGGCAGCCAUGGCAAACCACAGAAAAGAUAAAACGCACGUGCCUGAUGGCCACUGACUUUAUUUUCUUCAGAAGUGUGCACCUGGGCCUCACCAGACAGCACCUCACUCCUGCAGUGAUGCAUCGUAUAAACCAGGAGACCUCUAUUUGCUUUCGAGAGUUUGUCUCACUUAUUAGUGGAAUGCAUCUUUUACCAUCAGUGUCACUGUUUCCAGAGAUAGUGGCAUGGGAGGAAAAACUGAAGAAGCAGCUGAAGACUCGAUGCCAGGGGCAACUCUUUCAUGGUGAGAAAAUGGAGAUUGUAGCAUUUCAGUUGGGCACUCGAAGUUAUAAACAGCUGGUGAGUAGUCAAGCUGGACUCAGAACAGAUCCUCUCCCUUCCAGUCCCAGGAUGAGCAACAGCAGACCCAGCCCUGGCAUGACUGGGCUCUGGCAUCAGAGGGGCUGGGGGGAGCCUCAGAGCCUCCCCAGAGCCGCAGCUGCCCCUCCUCACUGCCAUGUUGAUUUUAGCCUCAGUUUCCCUGCUCAGCCCUCCCACUUCUUGCUGACUGGAGCCCUGUCCUGA
rnacentral:lncRNA from 1 species